GAUGAACGCUGACAGAAUGCUUAACACAUGCAAGUCUUUGGCGAAGCUGUGCUUGCACAGCCUAGCCAAGGCGGACGGGUGAGUAACGCGUAAGGGACUUGCCCUGCAGUCAGGGAUAACAGACGGAAACGACUGAUAAGACCUGGUAAAGUCAGGCGGACUCAUGUCCAGCCUGAUGAAAAGGAAUGCUGCAGGAGAGCCUUGCGUCCUAUUAGCUUGUUGGUGGGGUAACGGCCCACCAAGGCGAUGAUAGGUAGCCGGCCUGAGAGGGUGGACGGCCACAAGGGGACUGAGAUACGGCCCUUACUCCUACGGGAGGCAGCAGUGGGGAAUAUUGGACAAUGGGGGCAACCCUGAUCCAGCAAUUCUGUGUGCACGAUGAAGGUCUUCGGAUUGUAAAGUGCUUUCAGCAGGGAAGAAAAAAAUGACGGUACCUGCAGAAGAAGCGACGGCUAAAUACGUGCCAGCAGCCGCGGUAAUACGUAUGUCGCGAGCGUUAUCCGGAAUUAUUGGGCAUAAAGGGCAUCUAGGCGGCCGGAUAAGUCUGGGGUGAAAACUUGCGGCUCAACCGCAAGCCUGCCCUGGAAUCUAUGCGGCUAUAGUACUGGAGAGGUGGACGGAACUGCACGAGUAGAGGUGAAAUCGUAGAUAUGUGCAGGAAGGCCGAUGAUGAAGAUAGUUCACUGGACGGCAACUGACGCUGAAGUGCGAAAGCUAUGGGAGCAAACAGG
rnacentral:rRNA from 1 species